UACGUAGGGACCAAGCGUUGUCCGGAAUUAUUGGGCGUAAAGAGCUCGUAGGCGGUCUGUUGCGUCCGCUGUGAAAACUCGGGGCUUAACCCCGAGCCUGCAGUGGAUACGGGCAGACUAGAGGUAGGUAGGGGAGAAUGGAAUUCCCGGUGUAGCGGUGAAAUGCGCAGAUAUCGGGAGGAACACCGGUGGCGAAGGCGGUUCUCUGGGCCUUACCUGACGCUGAGGAGCGAAAGCGUGGGGAGCGAACAGG
rnacentral:rRNA from 1 species